CGAAAGCCUGACGGAGCAUUACCGCGUGAGGGAUGAAGGAUUUUGGUCUGUAAACCUCUUUUCUCUGAAAGAAGUUCUGACGGUACUUGAGGAAUAAGCAUCGGCUAACUCCGUGCCAGCAGCCGCGGUAAUACGGGGGAUGCAAGCGUUAUCCGGAAUCAUUGGGCGUAAAGCGCCUGUAGGUUGUUUAGUAAGUCUGUUGUUAAAGACCAGGGCUUAACCCUGGGAAAGCAAUGGAAACUACUAAACUUGAGUAUGGCAGGGGUAGAGGGAAUUUCUAGUGUAGCGGUGAAAUGCGUAGAUAUUACAAAGAACACCGGCGGCGAAUGCGCUCUACUGGACCAUUACUGACACUCAGAGGCGAAAGCUAGGGGAGCAAAAG
rnacentral:rRNA from 1 species